UUGAACGCUGGCGGCAGGCCUAACACAUGCAAGUCGAACGGUAACAGGAAGAAGCUUGCUUCUUUGCUGGCGAGUGGCGGACGGGUGAGUAAUGUCUGGGAAACUGCCUGAUGGAGGGGGAUAACUACUGGAAACGGUAGCUAAUACCGCAUAACGUCGCAGGACCAAAGAGGGGGACCUUCGGGCCUCUUGCCAUCGGAUGUGCCCAGAUGGGAUUAGCUAGUAGGUGGGGUAACGGCUCACCUAGGCGACGAUCCCUAGCUGGUCUGAGAGGAUGACCAGCCACACUGGAACUGAGACACGGUCCAGACUCCUACGGGAGGCAGCAGUGGGGAAUAUUGCACAAUGGGCGCAAGCCUGAUGCAGCCAUGCCGCGUGUAUGAAGAAGGCCUUCGGGUUGUAAAGUACUUUCAGCGGGGAGGAAGGGAGUAAAGUUAAUACCUUUACUCAUUGACGUUACCCGCAGAAGAAGCACCGGCUAACUCCGUG
rnacentral:rRNA from 1 species